UCCUGCCAGUAGUCAUAUCCUUUUCUCAAAGAUUAAGCCAUGCAUGUGUAAGUAUGAACGAAUUCAGACUGUGAAACUGCGAAUGGCUCAUUAAAUCAAUUAUAGCUUGUUUCAUGGUAACUACUACACGGAUAACCGUAGUAAUUCUAGAGCUAAUAUGUGCCACAAACCCCCGACUUCUGGAAGGGAUGCAUUUAUUAGAUAAAAGGUCGACGGGGGCUCUGCCUGUUGCUCUGAUGAUUCAUGAUAACUCGACGGAUCGCAUGGCCUUAGUGCUGGCGAUGCAUCAUUCAAAUAUCUGCCCUAUCAACUUUCGAUGGUAGGAUAUUGGCCUACCAUGGUGGUAACGGGUGACGGAGAAUUAGGGUUUGAUUCCAGAAAGGCAGCCUGAGAAACGGCUACAACAUCCAGGGAAGGCAGGAGGCACGCAAAUUACCCAAUCCUGACACGGGGAGGUAGUGACAAUAAAUAACAAUACCGGGCUCUUUGAGUCUGGUAAAUGGAAUGAGUACAAUCUAAAUCCCAUAACGAGGAUCCAUUGGAGGGCAAGUCUGGUGCCAGCAGCCGCGGUAAUUCCAGCUCCAAUAGCGUAUAUUUAACGAGGAUCCAUUGGAGGUAAAUGGAAUGAGUACAAUCUAAAUCCCAUAACGAGGAUCCAUUGGAGGGCAAGUCUGGUGCCAGCAGCCGCGGUAAUUCCAGCUCCAAUAGCGUAUAUUUAAGUUGUUGUAGUUAAAAAACUCGUAGUUGAACCUUUGGAUGGGUCACCCGGUCCGCCUUCGGUGAGCACCGGUCGGCUUGUCUCUUCUGUCGGCGAUAUGCUCAUGGCCUUAACUGGCCGGGUCGUGCCUCUCGGCGCUGUUACUUUGAAGAAAUUAGAGUGCUCAAAGCAAGCCUACGCUCUGUAUACAUUAGCAUGGGAUAACAUCAUAGGAUUUCGAUCCUAUUGUGUUGGCCUUCGGGAUCGGAGUAAUGAUUAACAUGGACAGUUGGGGGCAUUCGUAUUUCAUAGUCAGAGGUGAAAUUCUUGGAUUUAUGAAAGAUGAACAACUGCGAAAGCAUUUGCCAAGGAUGUUUUCAUUAAUCAAGAACGAAAGUUGGGGGCUUGAAGACGAUCAAAUACCGUCCUAGUCUCAACCAUAAACGAUGCCGACCAGGGAACAGUGGAUGUUGCUUUUAGGAUUCCGCUGGCACCUUAUGAGAAAUCAAAGUUUUUGGGUUCCGGGGGGAGUAUGGUCGCAAGGCUGAAACUUAAAAGAAUUGACGGAAGGGCACCGCCAGAAGUGGAGCCUGCGGCUUAAUUUGACUCAACACGGGGAACCUUACCAGGUCCAGACAUAGUAAGAGGGCACCGCCAGAAGUGGAGCCUGCGGCUUAAUUUGACUCAACACGGGGAAACUUACCAGGUCCAGACAUAGUAAGGAUUGACAGACUGAGAGCUCUUUCUUGAUUCUAUGGGUGGUGGUGCAUGGCCGUUCUUAGUUGGUGGAGCGAUUUGUCUGGUUAAUUUCGUUAACGAACGAGACCUCAGCCUGAUAACUAGCUACGUGGAGGCAUCCCUUCACGGCUGGCUUCUUAGAGGGACUAUGGCCGUUUAGGCCAAGGAAGUUUGACGCAAUAACAGGUAUGUGAUGCCCUUAGAUGUUCUGGGCCGCAUGCGCGCUACACUGAUGUAUUCAACGAGUUCACACCUUGGCCGACAGGCCCGUGUUAUCUUUGAAAUUUCAUCGUGAUGGGGAUAAAUCAUUGCAAUUGCUGGUCUUCAACGAGGAAUUCCUAGUAAGCGCGAGUCAUCAGCUCAUGUUGACUACGUCUCUGCCCUUUGUCCACACCGCCCGUCACUCCUACCGAUUGAAUGAUCCGGUGAAGUGUUCGGAUCGCGGCGACGUGGGUGGUUCCCCGUCUGCGACGUCGCGAGAAGUCCACUAAACCUUAUCAUUUAGAGGAAGGAGAAGUCGUAACAAGGUUUCCGUAGGUGAACCUGCGGAAGGAUCAUUGUCAUACCCUGAAAACAUAACGACCUGAGAACUAUGAAACAUCACUCUCGGUAGGCCGGUUUCUUACUGGGCCUGCCGAUUAUGGGGUUAUGCGUUCAUCCAUGCCCAAGACUUCAGUUUUGGUUGGAUCAUACGCAUAGCUUCCGGAUAUCACCAAACCCCAGGACAAAAAGUGUCAAGGAAAAUGCAACUAAACAACUAACCCGGAGACGGUGUUUGUUCGGAAGCAGUGCUGCAAUGUAAAGUCUAAAACAACUCUCGGCAACGGAUAUCUCAGCUCUCGCAUCGAUGAAGAACGUAGCAAAAUGCGAUACUUGGUGUGAAUUGCAGAAUCCCGUGAACAAUCGAGUCUUUGAAUGCAAGUUGCGCCCCAAGCCUUCUGGCCGAGGGCACGUCUGCCUGGGUGUCACAAAUCGUCGUCCCCCCAUCCUCUCGAGGAUAUGGGACGGAAGCUGAUCUCCCGUGUGUUACUGCACGCGGUUGGCCAAAAUCCGAGCUAAGGACGCCAGGAGCGUCUUGACAUGCGGUGGUGAAUUCAAUUCUUGUCAUAUAGUCAGAUGCGGUGGUGAAUUCAAUUCAAUUCUUGUCAUAUAGUCAAAGCUGUUUCCAGGGUGAGCAGGCUGUUAAACAGAAAAGAUAACUCUUUUUGGAAUUCCCAUCGACGUCUUUGGACUUCCUUAUGUUACCGUCAACCGCCACGUCCCGGUUCCAUAAUUUUAACCGGAUCCCCUUUCAAAGUUGAAGCAUAAGCCCUAUCAGACGGGUUUCCCCCGACUCUUAGGAUCGACUAACCCAUGUGCAAGUGCCGUUCACAUGGAACCUUUCCCUUCUUCGGCCUUCAAAGUUCUAAUUUGAAUAUUUACUACUACCACCAAGAUCUGCACCGACGGCCGCUCCGCCCGGGCUUACGCCCUAGGUUUUGCAGCGACCACCGUGCCCUCCUACUCAUCGAGGCCUGGCUCUUGCCCCGACGGCCAGGUAUAGGUCGCGCGCUUCAGCACCAUCCAUUUUUUGGGCUAGUUGAUUCGUCAGGUGAGUUGCUAUACACUCCAUAGCGGAUUUCGACUUCCAUGACCACCAUCCUGCUGUCUUAAUCGACCAACAACCUUUGUGGGUUUUAGGUUAGCACGCAGUUGGGUACCAUAACCCGGCUUCCGGUUCAUCCGGCAUCACCAGUUUUGCUUACCAAAAAUGGCCCACUUGGAGCUCUCGAUUCCGUGGGAUGGCUCAACAAAGCAGUCACCCCGUCCUACCUAUUUAAAGUUUGAGAAUAGGCCGAGGACAUUGCAUCCCCGAUGCCUCUAUUCAUUGGCUUUACCCGAUAGAAGUCGUUUCCGAGCUCCAGCUAUCCUGAGGGAAACUUCAGAGGGAACCAGCUACUAGAUGGUUUGAUUAGUCUUUCGCCCCUAUACUCAAGUCAGACGAACGAUUUGCAUGUCAGUAUCGCUGCGGGCCUCCACCAGAGUUUCCUCUGGCUUCGCCCCUCUCAGGCAUAGUUAACCAUCUUUCGGGUCCCGACAGGCAUGCUUACACUCGAACCCUUCUCAGAAGAUCAAGUUCGGUCGGCUGUGCACCCGUGAGGGAUCCAGCCAAUUAGCCGUUGACUCGCACACAUGUCAGCCUCCUUGGUCCGUGUUUCAAGAUGGGUCAAAUGGGGAGCCCACAGGCUGACGCCCUAAGCACGCAGAUGCCAAGGCACACCGUGAGGCACGUGCUGCAGACCACAAUUAAGGUAGCGAUGUCUCCGCGGGCGUAACAAAAUCCCAGGCUUAGGUCACCACCAUAAUCCGCAUCAGUCCACGGCCUGAAUUGAUCGGCGGACUGGAUUUCUCCGUUCUGCAUCCGACCGGGACAAAUCGCUGGCUCCCAUCUGAUUACCUCCCGACAAUUUCAAGAACUCUUUGACUCUCUUUUCAUAGUCCUUUUCAUCUUUACCUCGCGGUACUUGUUCGCUAUCGGUCUCUCGCCCAUAUUUUGCCUUGGAGGGAAUUUACCGCCCGAUUGGGGCUGCAUUCCCAAACAACCCGACUCGUAGACAAUGCCUCGUGGUGCAACAGGGUCCGGGAACGACGGGGCUCUCACCCUCUCUGGUGCCCCUUUACAGGGAACUUGGGCCGGUCCGUCGCUGAGGACGCUUCUCCAGACUACAAUUCGAACGCCAAAGACGUCCGAUUUUCAAGCUGGGCUCUUCCCGGUUCACUCGCCGUUUCUAAGGGAAUCCUUGUUAGUUUAUUUUCCUCCGCUUAUUGAUAUGCUUAACCUCAACGGGUGAUCCCGCCUGACCUGGGGUCGCGUUAAGGACUUUGGGUCAUCAAGAGCUUUAGAACCGGAACGUCUGACUAUAUGACGAGAAUUGAAUUCACCACUGCAUGUCAGGACGCUCUUGGCAUCCUAAGCUCGGAUUUUGGCCAUUCACGCGCGGUAACACACAAGAGAUAAGCUUCCGUCCCAUAUCCUCGAGAGGAUGGGGGGACAAAUAUUUGUGACACCCAGGCAGACGUGCCCUCGGCCAGAAGGCUUGGGGUGCAACUUGCGUUCAAAGACUUGCUGGUUCACGUGGUUCUGCAAUUCACACCAAGUAUCGCAUUUCACUACGUUCUUCAUCGAUGCUUGAGGCGAGAUAUCCAUUGCCGAGAGUCGUUUUAGACUUUACAUUGCAGCACUGCUUCCGAACAAACACCAUCUCCGAGUUGGCGAAAGCAGGCUGUUUAGUUGCAUUUUCCAUGACACUUGUCGUGCCGGUGUUUGGUGAUAUCUGGAAGCUAUGCGUACGAUCCAACCAAAACUUAAGUCUUGGGAAUGGAUGAACGCAUAACCACGGAAUCGGCAGGCACAGUAAGAAACCGGCCUACCGAGAGUGAUGUUUCAUCGUUCUUAGGUCGUUCUGUUUCAUGGGUACGACAAUGAUUCUUCUGCAGGUUCACCUACGGAAACCUUGUUACGACUUCUCCUUACUCAAAAUGAUAAGGUUUAGUGGACUUCUCGCGAAGUCGCAGAUGGCAAACCACCCACGUCGCCGCGAUCCAAACACUUCACCGAAUCAUUCAAUCGGUAGGAGCGACGGGCGGUGUGUACAAAGGGCAGGGACGUAGUCAACACGAGCUGAUGACUCGUGCUUACUAGGAAUUCCUCGUUGAAGACCAACAAUUGCAAUGAUUUAUUCCCAUCACGAUGAAAUUUCAAAGAUUACCCGGGCCUGUCUGUAACACCCCCGAACCGUCCUAAGCAUAGGUCGACCCACCGGCCAACAAUCAAACAAGAACAUGACCGACGGACGACCCACACCAAGGGUUGGAGAUGAAAGGCCAACCGGCCAGCCAACAAUCAAACAAGAACAUGACUGACCGUCCAACCCAACACCAUGGUUCGGAAGCGCUACAUGACGGGCUAGGGACAAUCCGGUCAGAGUCACAAACUUUACUUCAUGACCUCGACCAGUUCAUCCACUAACUCGUCCCACUGCGUCAAGGCACAAGGCUUUGCAACCCGGCCAAGAGUUAGCGUUUUCCGUUAGAUCGAGGCCUAAGGCUUUUCAACCCGUACUACGACCUAACGUUGUGUUAGACCGGACUAGUCAAAUAUCAGAGUACUCAUGAAGCGCAUAUAAAACAAUUACUUUAUUGAUUCGAGAAAUAUCCAUACAUUGAUAUAAUUCGAGACCGGUCCCGGCCUAAUUGCCAAAUCGAGUCAACUAAACACAAAUCCACAAUACCGUUUACAAAAGGCAUGGAAAUCUACACCGGCGGUCCUAAUGUCCAGCACCAAGCUAUCCGAUCAUCCUUACCUAAAGCGACCUGCAAAAAGGACAACGGAGUUGGAUGAGUAACCUAAUGUUACUCAGUGAGCUGGCGGCCUCUACCCGCAACCUAGACUCUACCCAGACAACCCAAAAUAACAAACAAUCUAGCCCUAGCAUGCAAUAAAAGCUAAGGCUAAGCAAACCGUUACUAAGUUAGACUUGGCCUCCUGCCAUGAUCUAGCUUCAAGUAACGGGAACCUGCAUUAAAAAAAGUCAACAAGCAAUCCCUAGUUAACCAUAUAUACGCUUGAGUUCAAUACUCAUGUAGUGUUAGACACUUAGACUAUACAAGUAUCAUUAAUUGAUCGACCAACAAUCAAACAAGAACAUGAUCGGCCAACCAAUGAUACCGCAUAGCUUUAAUAUCCACCACCCUUCACAAGCAAUCACUCAAACACAUACAGGCCAACGUCAGGCCUACACUAACAAAAUACACAUCAAGCCUAAUCCGGUACUUAAACCAGACUUAGACUUAACGUCAGAACCUGCAAGCAAAUCAAUCAACCACAAACACAAUCACAAUAAUAAGACUAUGAGUAACUACGACUCGAUCUAACUUGUAACACCGUAUAUCGGUGCUACACUAACUCGAGGGUUCCAUAACCCUCUACGACACUCUAACACAACACUCUAACCUGGGCCCUGGUGACUUCGUGUUCCUUCUCUCUAUCGGCAAUAUCCUAUCUCCCUACCACAAAGGCCAGAAGAAGGAACUUUCAACCGACCGCGGCCCACAGUCCUUCGGGUCACCGCGCGACAGCCCACAGUCCUUCGGGUCACUGCCACAUUACACCGUCGUGUAAUACUCAGCCAUAGUACAUGACACCGUUCGUCUGAGUCUUCCCGAUCCAGCGAAUAAGGGGUUUCCUUGAACCCGCUGGGUACGAGGCCGAGGAAACACUAAUCACCCCUACACAAGCCUAGUAUGGGCGGGUUACGCACAUACUGUCGGCACACUCACACAACACAAACUCAAUCUAGAACCUAACCUAAAGAUAAAGUUCCAGAUCCUAACUAGACACUCAACUCUACAACACAAACCAGUAGUACCAGUAGUCCGGCCUAUAUGGCCUAAGACCCUUAGUACUAACUACUAAACAAUAAUAUCAAUACUAAACAAUACAAUCAAACCGUUACCCAGAUAGUCCAGCCUCCCGCUGAGAAACUAUCUUUAAAGAUAACGGGAACCUGCACUCAACAAUAUCAACACGCAAUAAUAGAAAACAUGAUGCAUCCUAGCCCUAGUCCUAGUCAGGUUAUUAUCUCAGUCUUAAUUCCAUUCAUCUCAGCUUAGCCCUUGCUAAACUGAGUCCGGUUCCAUAAAUAAAAUAACCCUAAGGACUCUACCAUUCAAUAACGUGAUCAUUCUAAUCUAUAUGCAGACUCGAUCUACCCUAAAUUCCAAGUGGAAUUCAAACAAACCAACUCACAGUGUUCUAGGCGAGAAGCAGCUGGUUGAUCGGAGAGGACUUGGCCAAAACCCAAUGGACGCCUUGACUGGACUGGACUGGACUGGACUGAUCUUGUCUUGGACACAACCUUGGCUUCACCAUGAAGAAGUUGACAGGCCUCGACAGGCUGAUCUGGACUCGGACAGAACCUCCUCUAGCUUCUGGACAGUUCUUCGGACUUCCCGGCGGAGUAUCGAGCAGAACUUCGACUGAUCUGAACCCAUAGUUCUGAACUAACUCUGGACAGCACCUCCACUUGACCAUCAUAGAAUAUGACUGGCCUGGACGGAUUGAAUUGGACAGAGCUUCCGCGUCACAAUCGUAAAGAAUAGCCGAUUAGACGGAACUGGCCUUCUCGGUGAGAAUCGACUAUACUCUAAGUCGACACUUUUCUUCUCUCUCUCUUUCUCUCUGGCCACGUUGACUUAAUUCCCAUCUGAUCUGAUCUUCAUUUGAUUGACCUUCAGUUGGACAGAAGCUUCCCAAGGCGAUGACUCAAAAUCGGUAGAGAACUGAUCUCGAAAACUCUCUAAAACUCUCGAAAUAGCUUGGAAUCACUUGCUUUCUUUUUCUACUUUUCUCUCAUGUUUUGAAAUGGGUUUGGACAGGUCUGGAUGUGAAGAAAUGAGCUGGGGUCGUGGGGUAUUUAUAGGAGACACCAGCCAAUCAGCUUCAGGUUGGUGGCAGCCCGUGUGUCGCUCUGCAUGGCUCCGGACGCAUGCACGGCGACACCUCGUGCUCCACAUGGCUGGAUGCAUGUCCAGGACACAUGCAGGACGCCACCACUCCUCCCAGAUGUCAGGCUGCAUGACUGGAGCUCAUGCAAGGCGCCAAACAUCCUCACACAUGUCGAUCAGCAUGCUUCGGUUGCAUGCGUCGCGACAUCUCGUGCUUGGCCGAUCCACCUCGUGCUCCACAUGGCUGGCUGCAUGACCAGUACACAUGCAGGACGCCACCACUCCUCCCAGAUGUCAGGCUGCAUGACUGGAGCUCAUGCAAGACGCCACCCCAGCACACACAUGUCGAUCAGCAUGCUUCGGUUGCAUGCGCGGAGACACCUCGUGCUUGGCCGUUCCACCUCGUGCUUCUAUGUGUCAAGCUGCAUGUUCAGCUUUCAUGCACGUCUACACCUCCUCCUUGUGUUGACACUCAGCUGCUGAUGUGAUAGACAGAACGUCCUGGCCAUAUGCAUAGGGACACCUCGAGCUUCCCGGUUGAUUUGUGCGAUUUCGGUCUUUCUGGUGAAUUUUCGUCCCGCGAUCAAUCCCGAAUAUUUUUCUGCUCCCGUUCUGAUUCUCUAAAUAUUUUUAAUAAACUCCAGAUGAAUACUGAGAUCCUCUAAAAAUAUUUCCCGAGCCUCCGGCUUCUUCCAAUAAUUUCGAAAAACCAAAAUUAGGGUUUUUGACCAACUUCGGGUUUUCCCGUCGUGCUUGCUUCCCGUCCUGCUACUCAUAGUUAACUCACGAUCACUUCUUCUCCCACCUCGUACUUCAAAACUUCUCGAUCGAUCCAUAUCGCCCGCGACUCGACCACCACAAAGAUACUCGACCAUUUCUAUUUUUUUUUAACGGGUUUCUACACCGCUGUCCUAGAGUCCGUUUCUUUGGCUCCGGCCAAGAUGGCAGAGCCGAAGUUGACCAUGUCUGAGUGAGGACCAUGGUCACAGUACAACCAAGUUGGAGUUUGACCUACGGUUGAGAAUGAUCAAGUCCAGUAAUGGACGAGGAUCAGGCCACGACCUACUCGGAGAUGGACCUAUGGUCGGGGUGAAAAGGUCGAGUCCCUGAGUGGACCAGGACCGGAAUACGAUCACGUCCGUAAAUUGACCAGGAUUGAAUUAUGACAAAGUCCAGUGAAGGACAGAAGUCAAGUUUGAGGUGUUUUUAGUCUGGAGGGAGUAAGAUCGCAAUGUGGCCAAGCCUGAAAAGGUUGUGGCUGGUUAAGGGGAUGAUCCAGUACGUUGUGGCUGAGGUCAUGAACCUUAUUGUCCAUGAAAGACAAAAGAACCAUAACAAUCUGUUAGGACUCGUUGUAGGACGAGCAGCCUAAAGAUUGUAACGAGUUCCUGAGGACUUGACUUGUACAUCGAGUGGCGUGGGGAUUGGCCAAAUCUACUAAGGCUCGAGUAUGCAGCAUGUUCCUAGGGACUGGUUAUGAUCUAGGCAUGGACUAUGAUCAGAGAUAGAAUAAAAUCUGAAGAAGAUGAUAUUCAAAAGAAAGACAUGGACUUGUUGGAUACUUGGAUCGCAACCUGGAGAGUUCGUCCAGUGACACAAGGAAUGGCUUUGGAUGGAAUUACAAGUAUCACUUGAUUGGAUGCUUGAUGGACCCUCCACUGUGGUCGAAGUAAACAAGUAAGGGCGCCAUAAGCAAAACCAGAAAGGACCACUUGAUAGGAUUUUUGUGGUUAAAUGCUUAUCAAGUGGGGGAGACUUCUACAACGAUGGUAAAAGGAAUUUGAUCGUCGAAGUGGUGAUUUGGUGGUUCUGAGUCAAGCUUGUGCUAUUCCCUGAUAAGGACUAGGAUAAGUCGGUUGGAAUAUUUUGUCUUGGGACAAUAUAUAAUCACCACCGGAUUCAAGGACGAAUCCUUUUGAAGUGGGGAAGACUUGUAACAUCCGCGAUCCUAGAUAAGGACCGUCGGGACGGCCAUAGUUCGAGGAAACGAACCUGCCGGUCUUAAGACCUUAAGGCUAGCGUUACAUUGCCAAGAUAGAAGGUUAAGGACGUCAGGAUGCUGAGACUUAACCUUAUAAGAGAAAGAAGUCAGCUAGGAUAAGCUGUACAGAAGCUGGGCGAUGCUUACGGGAAGCUCGAUCAGCUAGAUGUAGCUCGGUCAAGCUCAACCUAGCUCGUUCCAAGUUAAGUCCGCUCAACCAGCUGGACAACUAGCUCACUCAGCUGAGGCAGCUGGGAGUCAGCUCAUCUCAGCUCGACGAACUGUUCGGGUUUUGGGCCGAUAGUCCGGGUCCAGGUCAGUGGAGGGCCAAGAGGUACGGCCAAGUGGUCCAUGAGUCAUUGGGCUCUUGUGGGCAGGCCGUGGGCUUGGGGUACCAAGUCUGGGCUUGGGUUCGACGUUCCUAUAAGGUCUGGAACAUUCCAUUUCCGAACAGGUAUGAUCUGGACCGUUGAUUGUAAUCGAUGGCCAAGAUCUGUCCCAAAAGGAUGCUUCGAAGGGAUGUGUCCCUUCGCACAUGACCUUUGGUUGCCUAUAUAAAGGAUCCACGACCAGAGAUCAAUUCAUUCAUUCUCAUUCAGUCUCAUUCUGUCUGAGACAAAGGACACACGUCCUAAACAAAGGAAUCCCCCAAUAAGAACCGAGGGUCCAAGCCGGAAAAGGCUCGGUUGUGGUGGUUUAGUAUCUGCGGCAAGGAGAACGGUUUAGGAGAGAGGAGGCCGUGUGGUUAUGGAUACCCAAGGCAUAGAGAAAGGUCUGGAGAAGGAUUCCAACCCCGUGGUUCAGUCAGAUAGGGUCAGUGGGGUAACCACCGACUCAUCGGCUAAGACAAUCGGACAGUCCGAACCGGUCUAGCCAUGGGCGUUUGGGUUAUGUCCUAUUCUUCUUAUUCUUUUCAUCUAGUUCUUCUUCUACUCCUCCUGUACAUUGGCGUGGCCUUUUUGAUAUGUUGGGAUUGGUUAUAUCCAUGGUUCUGGUUGAGUAAUGCGGGCGCGGUCCAUAACCGACGAGUUAGGCAUGCACAUGAUCUGACUGGCCUCUGGUGAUCCGAUUGGAUGGGGGCGGUUCUGUUCUGUAACCAUUCACUAAACAGUCACAAUGGUUCAUGACUUGUGUAGGUUAAGGCGUGGUCCUUUGGCCAUAGGCCGGACACACGCACGGACUAGACAGUCCAUACGGACGGUUAGAUCAAACGGUGGGAACAUGUGAAUGCGUGCGAGUUGCCAAGGGCCAUGAUUUGCCAAGAGGAACGUGUGUCAAAAGGGUACUAGUUCCCAAAGGGUGUGAGUUCCAAACGGUGCCAUUGGUUCAAGGCUUAGGCCAAACCAUGUGGACAGUCCGCGGCUGCAUAGUCGAACGGACGGACAGUUAGUUUAACCGGAGUGUUGUGUAGCAAGGUCUGAUCGGUUGCAAGGCAAUCCAGUUUGGGCUUGGGCCUUACUCGGUGGUAUAGAUCCAGGCUUUGGGUUGGAUCAGGUAAGAAGGUCCGUGAGCCUUUGGGCCGGACUUAUAACUGGCCGAUCGCACCUAGAUCUUAACCAGACGGUUAGACGGGACUAUGGACGAUCCGGCUAUGGUUGGAUGGUUCUAGCUGCAAAGGCUAAGUAGGAUAUCUUACAAUCAACUUUGGGUUGGUCAGUAGGAUAGGCGCCAUAUGCCUUAUCUAGGGAGUAGACCCACAUGAUGGCAAUGGAAGGCCGGUUAUGUCAAUACCUGACAAGUAGGCGAUUCCUUAUGAAGUCUAGUGGUCGGACCAUGUUUCAUGACGAUGGUUCGAUGGACGAACACUAGUAUGGAUAGUCACGUUGCUGGAGUAAGAGUAUUGAUGUGAUGCUUCUAGAUACCAACCUUGGUGUUGACAGCUUCGAGAUUGGCUAAGAGCCAUGACGAAGUGUGUGGCUAGUACUAUGUGUCGUAGACCAUAGUUACUGAGCCUAAGUGUGAUUGUUCAAGGAAGGCAGUGUAAGAUCUGAUCAUGGUUGAGUAUGGACGAUCUGACCUCUGAAUUAUGGUUCAAGGUGUCGGUCCUAACCUGAUUAAUGAAUGCAUCGGUUGGUGUGAACAAAUCAUAUCUGUUGUUUGGGUUAAGUCCCAAGGCCGAUCAGGCCAUAUGAUGACUCAUCAGUUCCAAGUCAUGUGAGGAAGGUUGCUUGAUUGACUUAGGAUCUAAUGAGCUUUGUCAGUCCCGAAGAUGGACUUGGUACUAUUGCCUAUAAGGCAAAAGGAUUUCGGAUUGUGCACGAGCCUAGAAAGGCCAGAUGCAAACCCUUAUCCUUUAAAAGACAUCUCAAAGGUUACUUAUGUAUGUGGGGAUGGUUGGUUGAUUGACUAAGUACCUACACUACAAAAAAAAAGAUAUAUUGUGACUACAUCUUGAGACGAACUGUCUCGGUCACAAUUUAGUGACGUUUUUAAUACGUAGUUGUGACUGUAUUUUUUCGUCUUAAUUCUGUAGUUGUUUCGUCACUAUAUUAUGACGAUGUAAGUCGUUGCUAUAUUUAGUCACAACUACAGACGUAAUUGUUACUAUAGUGAUAAACGUAACGGUCGUGACGGUAUUAUGACUAUACGUAUCAUCAC
rnacentral:lncRNA from 1 species